rnacentral:rRNA from 1 species
CCCCGCAAGGGGAGUGGCAGACGGGUGAGUAACACGUGGGAACAUGCCCAAAGGUACGGAAUAUUCUCGGGAAACUGGGAGCAAUACCGUAUGUGCCCGAAAGGGGAAAGAUUUAUCGCCUUUGGAUUGGCCCGCGUCAGAUUAGGUAGUUGGUGGGGUAAAAGCCUACCAAGCCGACGAUCUGUAGCUGGUCUGAGAGGACGACCAGCCACACUGGGACUGAGACACGGCCCAGACUCCUACGGGAGGCAGCAGUGGGGAAUCUUGGACAAUGGGCGAAAGCCUGAUCCAGCAAUGCCGCGUGAGUGAUGAAGGCCUUAGGGUUGUAAAGCUCUUUUACCAGGGAUGAUAAUGACAGUACCUGGAGAAUAAGCUCCGGCUAACUCCGUGCCAGCAGCCGCGGUAAUACGGAGGGAGCUAGCGUUGUUCGGAAUUACUGGGCGUAAAGCGCGCGUAGGCGGCUAUUCAAGUCAGAGGUGAAAGCCUGGAGCUCAACUCCAGAACUGCCUUUGAAACUAGAUAGCUAGAAUCUUGGAGAGGCGAGUGGAAWUUCCGAGUGUAGAGGUGAAAUUCGUAGAUAUUCGGAAGAACACCAGUGGCGAAAGCGACUCGCUGGACAAGUAUUGACGCUGAGUGCGAAAGCGUGGGGAGCAACAGGAUUAGAUACCCUGGUAGUCCACGC